ensembl:lncRNA
UUUUGCUAAGCUAGACAAAAAUAAUAAAAGAGUUUUGCAAGAUGCCUCGCUACUGGACAGAGUACAUCCUGCCAGAUUACAGACAUAUCUCAUGCAAAUUACAGGAAAAAUAAAAUCACAUAGCUGGCAGGGACUGUGGUAAGCAAGCUCAAGGACAGCAAUCUGGGUAACAGACCUGAAAUACAUAUAGAGAUCGCUCAAUGAAAGUGGAGCUGAAAGAAAUCAUAAAAAGCUAAGAAUAACUAACCAGAAAUAAUUAAUUGGUUACUGCUGCUUAUCCAGAUAAGGAGAAAAUGCCAUUUGGAAAGUUCAUGCAGUUCUUAAACUUUGUAUCAUGUUUAAAGAAAAUGGCUUUGCCAGCGUGAAGCACACUAAUUCACUCCCUGGUCCUGGCACUCUGUAGGCAUUUUGCUGAGACCUGUAAAUGAUCUGCAAUAUGUUCAGGGCAUGCCAACAAGCAUUAUUCACGGCUACAUCUGCAUUUGUUACACAGUUUUCAAAGCUGGCUAUUUCUAAGUGUUUUUUCCCUCUGCAUUUAGCUAGCAAAAGGUUUCAAAUGCAGUGAAAACACUUGUUGCUCAGUGAAGCUAAACUGGAUUGAACUAUGUGUGUAACAGUGAAGUGAAAGAGAGCUUUUUUUCUUCUUUCAACUUUAUUUCAAUAAACUUCCAUUAGCAUCCCCUGCGGUAAGCUGCAGUGGGGUUCUGUGUCUUGGCGGGUUGGGCUGGCUGCACACAGGGCCACCGGCCCUCCUAGGCGCGAUAGUGGGGCUCUGAAGAUCACACCCAUGAAAGGGAGGGAUUCUUUUCCUACUCACUGCUUUUCUGUGCUGCAACACUGCAAAAGUCAUAAAUGUGCUUCUUUUACUAAGGGCUUUGGUUGAGGAAGGGUAUGUUUGGAAGGAAAAGAAGAAAACCCCUAGUUCAUCAAGCUAAAUACUUAACAGGUACUCUGCAGAGUAAUCCAUGCUUCUUUUAAAUAUCAACACUUUUCAGGAUAUUAAAAGGCUACAACUUUGAGAUGCAGAAAAAUCUGUGUUAGAUACAAAAAAAGCAUGACUGCCUAAUCAGUUUAGUGGGGAUGGAGGCACUACAAUUAAAGCUCCCAUGAACAAUUUAUUUACUAAGCAGAUCUUACUAAGAUCAAAUUACCAAAAGGAGAGUGUUUUCCAGCAAAUUGUGUGAAUUGCUUAAGAAUGGAUGGUCAAUGAGUUAUAUCAAAUGAUCAAGGGAUACUGCAGGUUAUUCUUCAUUGGGAUCUAUAAGGACAGGAUGAACAAUCAUCUUGGAGAAUGGUUUCAGUGGAAGGUGAGUUAGUGAUAAUCUGAGAUCUCUUUUACUCCUCUAUUUUUUAUCUAUUAAGGGAAAGAUAAAAUGAUGGAAAUCAUGUUUGUUCAUCUGAAUUCAGAGAUACAUCAUUUGACCUGAAAAAAAGAUCAAUUUAACUUCUGUUGAAGCCAGGGGGUCUCUGAAUAGACCCCAAUUCGUAGUCAAAGCUAUAGUGGUUUUGACCUAAAUGAAGACUUAAAGAAGUGCUUAUCUUGAAGAUGCAAGAAGUGCUUAUCUUGAAGAUGCAAGAAGUGCUUAUCUUGAAGACAUACAUAAGGCACAUUCCCAAAUUCUUUACUCUGACCCUGAUAGCACUGUGACACAACACUGUGAUUACAAUUUUAGUGUAGCCUCACCUGAAGUACUUCCAAAGCAAAUGUUCUUGAAUUUCAUAGUGUGAACUAUGAGAUAACCUCUUGCAAGUAAAAGGAUCAUGACUACAACUAGACCAAGGAGAAAAUUACUUGCAAGACACACAAGUGUGUUUUGUUCUUCUACUUUCUUUUCCUCAGAAGCAUAAUACUCCUGAGACCAGCAGCUGUCAACAAUAUGAGAGUAAAAAUAAUACAUGGUAUUAGUUGCCUGUUGUGCUAGUCACUGUGUGAAGAUACAGUAACUGAAGUUAGUAAUGCUCAUUAUUUCGUUACGGCUUGCGAGAUUUUUAGUGCUGUUCUUCAAGCUUUUUUUCCAUUUUUCUGUCCUAUGUGCGAGUCUCAACUAUUGUUUAAUAAAAAAAAAUAAAUUCUAAUUCACAUAACUGUGCAGGAAAA